rnacentral:rRNA from 1 species
AGGGUGCAGGGCGGAUGCCUUGGCACUAGGAGCCGAUGAAGGACGUGAUAAGCUGCGAUAAGCUUCGGGGAGUUGCACGUAAACUUUGAUCCGAAGAUUUCCGAAUGAGGAAACUCACUUAGAGUAAUGUCUAAGUAUCAUUAAGUGAAUACAUAGCUUAAUGAGGGGAACUCAGGGAACUGAAACAUCUAAGUACCUGAAGGAAGAGAAAGAAAUUCGAUUCCGUAAGUAGCGGCGAGCGAACGCGGAUUAGCCCAAACCAAUAAAGUUUUCUUUAUUGGGGUUGCGGACAUAUCAUAACGAAGAGGUAUCGUAAUUGAAGAGGUUUGGAAAGACCCACCACAGAAGGUAAUAGUCCUGUAUGUUAAACGAGAAGACUUUAGAUAUGAUCCAGAGUACCACGGGACACGUGAAACCCUGUGGGAAGCAGGAGGGACCACCCUCCAAGGCUAAAUACUACCUAGUGACCGAUAGCGUAUAGUACCGUGAGGGAAAGGUGAAAAGAACCCCGGGAGGGGAGUGAAAUAGAACCUGAAACCCUGCACUUACAAGCUGUGGAAGCACAUUUCUUGUGUGACCGCGUACUUUUUGUAGAACGGGCCAACGAGUUACGUUAAGUAGCAAGGUUAAGCACUUAAGGUGCGGAGCCGUAGCGAAAGCGAGUUUUAACUGAGCGUUCAGUUACUUGACGUAGACCCGAAACCGGGCGACCUACCCAUGAGCAGGAUGAAGCGAAAGUAAAAUUUCGUGGAGGUCCGAACCCACGAGCGUUGAAAAGCUCGGGGAUGACUUGUGGGUAGCGGUGAAAUUCCAAUCGAGCCCGGAGAUAGCUGGUUCUCCCCGAAAUAGCUUUAGGGCUAGCCUCAAGGUGAGAGAUACGGAGGUAGAGCACUGAAUGUCCUAGGGGGUAUUGCACCUACCGAAGACUAUCAAACUCCGAAUGCCGUCAUCUUAUACUUGGGAGUCAGACUGUGGGUGAUAAGAUUCAUAGUCGAAAGGGCAACAGCCCAGAUCGUCAGCUAAGGUCCCUAAAUGUAAGUUAAGUGGUAAAGGAUGUGGGAUUGCACAGACAACCAGGAUGUUGGCUUAGAAGCAGCCACUCAUUCAAAGAGUGCGUAAUAGCUCACUGGUCGAGUGAUCCUGCGCCGAAGAUUUCCGGGGCUAAAACUUACUACCGAAGCUACGGCAUCAGUAAUGAUGGGUAGGGGAGCUUCCCAUACGGGUUGAAGCAUGACCGUAAGGACAUGUGGACAGUAUGGGAGUGAGAAUGUUGGCAUGAGUAGCGAGAUGUGGGUGAGAAUCCCACAGGCCGUAAACCCAAGGUUUCCAGGGGAAGGUUCGUCCGCCCUGGGUUAGUCGGGACCUAAGCUGAGGCCGAAAGGCGUAGGUGAUGGACAACAGGUUGAUAUUCCUGUACUACCGAUAACCGUUUGAGAGAAGGGAUGACACAGUAGGAUAAGCUAAGCACACUGUUGGUUAUGUGUGCCCAAGCAUUGAGGCAGUCAAAGUAGGCAAAUCCGCUUUGAUAAUGCUGGGAUGUGAUGGGGAGCGAAAUUUAGUAGCGAAGUAGCUGAUUUCACACUGUCAAGAAAAGUCUCUAUCGAGGUUAAAGGUACCCGUACCGCAAACCGACACAGGUGGGUGAGGAGAGUAUCCUAAGGCCAGCGAGAGAACUGUUGUUAAGGAACUCGGCAAAAUGACCCCGUAACUUAGGGAUAAGGGGUGCCACCAUCAGGUGGCCGCAGAGAAUAGGCCCAAGCGACUGUUUACCAAAAACAUAGGUUUCUGCUAAGUCGCAAGACGAUGUAUAGGAGCUGACGCCUGCCCGGUGCUGGAAGGUUAAGGGGAUCUGUUAGAGCAAUCGAAGCAGUGAACUUAAGCCCCAGUAAACGGCGGCCGUAACUAUAACGGUCCUAAGGUAGCGAAAUUCCUUGUCGGGUAAGUUCCGACCCGCACGAAAGGCGUAACGAUUUGGGCACUGU